AGAGUUUGAUCCUGGCUCAGGAUGAACGCUGGCGGCGUGCCUAAUACAUGCAAGUCGAGCGAACCACUUCGGUGGGAAGCGGCGAACGGGUGAGUAACACGUAGGUGAUCUGCCCAUCAGACGGGGACAACGAUUGGAAACGAUCGCUAAUACCGGAUAGGACGAAAGUUUAAAGAUGCUCCUGGCAUCACUGAUGGAUGAGCCUGCGGCGCAUUAGCUAGUUGGUGGGGUAAAGGCCUACCAAGGCGACGAUGCGUAGCCGACCUGAGAGGGUGAACGGCCACACUGGGACUGAGACACGGCCCAGACUCCUACGGGAGGCAGCAGUAGGGAAUCUUCGGCAAUGGGCGAAAGCCUGACCGAGCAACGCCGCGUGAAUGAAGAAGGCCUUCGGGUUGUAAAAUUCUGUUAUAAGGGAAGAAAGGUGAUAGGAGGAAAUGACUACCAAUUGACGGUACCUUAUGAGAAAGCCACGGCUAACUACGUG
rnacentral:rRNA from 1 species